CGGAAGGGGCUAGCGUUGUUCGGAUUUACUGGGCGUAAAGCGCAUGUAGGCGGCGGAUCAAGUGGGGCGUGAAAGGCCUGGGCUCAACCUGGGAACUGCGCUUCAGACUGGUUCGCUCGAGUUCGGGAGAGGGUGGUGGAAUUCCCAGUGUAGAGGUGAAAUUCGUAGAUAUUGGGAGGAACACCGGUGGCGAAGGCGGCCACCUGGCCCGAGACUGACGCUCAAGUGCGAAAAGCGUGGGGAGCAAACAGGAUU
rnacentral:rRNA from 1 species